GGUCUUUUAGUAUAAAGGUCGUACAUCUGCCCUUCAACCAGAUAGUAUCAGUUCAAUUCUGAUAAAGACUA
rnacentral:tRNA from 1 species